UACGAAGGGGACUAGCGUUGUUCGGAAUUACUGGGCGUAAAGCGCACGUAGGCGGAUUGUUAAGUUAGGGGUGAAAUCCCAGGGCUCAACCCUGGAACUGCCUUUAAUACUGGCAAUCUCGAGUCCGAGAGAGGUGAGUGGAAUUCCGAGUGUAGAGGUGAAAUUCGUAGAUAUUCGGAGGAACACCAGUGGCGAAGGCGGCUCACUGGCUCGGUACUGACGCUGAGGUGCGAAAGCGUGGGGAGCAAACAGG
rnacentral:rRNA from 1 species